rnacentral:lncRNA from 10 species
GUACAACAGACUGCCAGAGGUCUUAUUUUCCACUGUUGCUGUCUUAGAAUUCAACUGCUAUGUGAAGAAGCAAGGUUAUUCUGUUGAGGAGGCUUCAGGAAGAAAGAGGCCCUAGCGGAGAAAAGACUAUGAGCUCAGACUUUGGAGAUGGAAAAUGGAAGAAAUAAAAGAGAAAGCGAAAAAGAAAGAUAAAGGAAACGAAUCUGCAGAGAUAAACAGAGGAACUGAUGUUCUCUAGAGCAAAAUGAAGAAGUAAAUUUGAAACUAAAAAAGACUUUCGGGAGUUCCUUUUCUUUCAUCUUCUAGAGCACAGAGAGCUUCAUUCAGGGUUACAUGAAUCAGAGUCCAGCAUCUCCCAUGGGCACAUAUUUUAGUUUCAUGGACAAUAAACUUCCACUAGUGUUAAAUGAGUUACUUUCCACAAAAUGAUGCCUCCAGGAACCAAUCAGCCCCGAAGAUCCUAUCUGGAACACCUGGCUCUGGGGAGAGUAGGAAGUUCCUAAGAACAAAGGGCUAUAGAGAAAAGAAGAUGCAAAGAAAGGUGCAUGAGCCGGUGACUUCCUUUUGGCCUGGAAAAGCUUUUUGGAUCCCUUUCUCCCUGCCCUCCCUUAACCACUAGGUGGAAACGGAGGGUGCUUUAUUGUACAGAUGUACUAAAGGAUGAGUUUAAGGUUUCUCUGUUAUUAGUAGCUCAGAGCUUCCAACAGUGAAGCAGCAGCAAAGGGCACUGGUGGUUUCCCAAGUGGAGACGCUCAGAGGCUCCGUCCUGAGAUGGGGAAGUUGGGAUUAGCCUUCAUCAAUGCUGCAGGAGGUAUGAUAAGCAGGUUUCUAUGUUCUUAACUUUCCAGUGGGGUCACAGUGCAGGUUGUAGGGAAAUAAAGGGGAUUUCCGAGCCUCUUGACCCUUCCAGGUACAAGCUCAUUAAAAACCUGCUAAAAAGAAUAAGUGAAUAAAAUGAAACAAAAAAGAGUGGUUGUACAGACAACAGAAAUAUAGGCUCUUGAUGAAUUUUAGCAGGCUUUUCUGAAAAUCUGGCUAUCUUUAAGGCCAUGAGUAUUCCCAUAAAGUAACAAAUAAAUGACCUAUUAAACAAAAUGCCAUUUAAUCUCUUACCAUUUGCUACUUUGCUAUAAACUUGAUUCACUUCUUUUGGGAGAAUUACCCCAGAGUAGUGGUUACCAAACUUCAGCAGACAUCAACUCACUUGGAGGACUUGUUAAAACGCAGAUUGCUGGGUGCCACCCCAGGAUUUCAGAUUCAUUAGUUUUCUUAUUUUGUUUAAUGGAUUAUAAUCUGUUAUAUGUAUUAUUUACUAUUUUUAGGACUUACGUAUAACAUAAUAAAAUAAUGUUAUUUAUUAUAAACAC